AUGAACGCUAGCUACAGGCUUAACACAUGCAAGUCGAGGGGCAGCAUGGUCUUAGCUUGCUAAGGCCGAUGGCGACCGGCGCACGGGUGAGUAACACGUAUCCAACCUGCCGUCUACUCUUGGACAGCCUUCUGAAAGGAAGAUUAAUACAAGAUGGCAUCAUGAGUCCGCAUGUUCACAUGAUUAAAGGUAUUCCGGUAGACGAUGGGGAUGCGUUCCAUUAGAUAGUAGGCGGGGUAACGGCCCACCUAGUCUUCGAUGGAUAGGGGUUCUGAGAGGAAGGUCCCCCACAUUGGAACUGAGACACGGUCCAAACUCCUACGGGAGGCAGCAGUGAGGAAUAUUGGUCAAUGGGCGAGAGCCUGAACCAGCCAAGUAGCGUGAAGGAUGACUGCCCUAUGGGUUGUAAACUUCUUUUAUAAAGGAAUAAAGUCGGGUAUGGAUACCCGUUUGCAUGUACUUUAUGAAUAAGGAUCGGCUAACUCCGUGCCAGCAGCCGCGGUAAUACGGAGGAUCCGAGCGUUAUCCGGAUUUAUUGGGUUUAAAGGGAGCGUAGAUGGAUGUUUAAGUCAGUUGUGAAAGUUUGCGGCUCAACCGUAAAAUUGCAGUUGAUACUGGAUAUCUUGAGUGCAGUUGAGGCAGGCGGAAUUCGUGGUGUAGCGGUGAAAUGCUUAGAUAUCACGAAGAACUCCGAUUGCGAAGGCAGCCUGCUAAGCUGCAACUGACAUUGAGGCUCGAAAGUGUGGGUAUCAAACAGGAUUAGAUACCCUGGUAGUCCACACGGUAAACGAUGAAUACUCGCUGUUUGCGAUAUACUGCAAGCGGCCAAGCGAAAGCGUUAAGUAUUCCACCUGGGGAGUACGCCGGCAACGGUGAAACUCAAAGGAAUUGACGGGGGCCCGCACAAGCAGUGGAGUAUGUGGUUUAAUUCGACGCAACGCGAAGAACCUUACCAAGGCUUGACAUAUACAGGAAUAACUAAGAAAUUAGUUAGCUCUUCGGAGUCUGUAUACAGGUGGUGCAUGGUUGUCGUCAGCUCGUGCCGUGAGGUGUCGGCUUAAGUGCCAUAACGAGCGCAACCCUUGUUGUCAGUUACUAACAGGUUCCGCUGAGGACUCUGACAAGACUGCCAUCGUAAGAUGUGAGGAAGGUGGGGAUGACGUCAAAUCAGCACGGCCCUUACGUCCGGGGCUACACACGUGUUACAAUGGGGGGUACAGAGGGCCGCUACCACGCGAGUGGAUGCCAAUCCCAAAAACCUCUCUCAGUUCGGACUGGAGUCUGCAACCCGACUCCACGAAGCUGGAUUCGCUAGUAAUCGCGCAUCAGCCACGGCGCGGUGAAUACGUUCCCGGGCCUUGUACACACCGCCCGUCAAGCCAUGGGAGCCGGGGGUACCUGAAGUGCGUAACCGCGAGGAGCGCCCUAGGGUAAAACUGGUGACUGGGGCU
rnacentral:rRNA from 1 species